UUCUGACGAGGAGGCUACUUGGGAGUUGGAGGAUACGAUCUGAGCUCGAUACCCUCAUCUCUUUACUUGAGGUAUGUGGGUUAGAGUUUCUUUCAGCAUUUAUAUUGUUUGGUUAUGUUAUAGUGUUGGCUGUUGGUUAUAGCGAAAUUUGGGGACCAAAUUUUUAUUAGUAGGGGAGGAUGUGAGAUCUCGGAAAAUUUAAAUAAAUAGGGUUAUUUCAGAAAUAGCCUUAUAAAAUUUUUCCGGAAUUUUUAGAAAUUUUCUGGGAAUUUUUCGGAGCUCGUAUGGACGGUUUUGAGGAGAUCGAUCGACGGGUUCGGAUAAACCCAGUUUGGGAUACCCGUUUAAGGGAGGAAAUGUUUUUAUUAUAUAAUUCUUUUUCUUUUAUUUCCGCCCCAAAUCGCCGUUUCCUCCAAACCACUGCCGAUCCCGACCCUUCUCCCUCUCUGCCCCGAUGCGAUCCCGAUCUCCCCUCUCUUCCUCCUCUCUCUCGCGGACGAAGCAAGCCAGAGCUCCGGUGAUCUCCUUCUGCCGGCAUCGACCAGUACGCUCAGAUCCAGCCAAAGUCCCUUCUCCCGCCCGAUCCUUUCUUUCCGCUCGCCUUCGAUCGCUGCCGAAGCUUCACCAUCCCGACUUUGCCGUCGACCUAGGGGAGCAGACGCUGGUACAGAUCCGAUCGUGGAUGACCUUCUCCAGUCUUAGGUGAGAGCAUCGAUCUCUUUCUCCUCCCGAUGUUGCCGGCGACGCCACCGAUCCCGAUCACCUACGAGCUUAUCACAGCCCUAGGUCACCGACGCACCUUCUCUUCUUGGCGGCUGAAUUAGGUCACGGAUCGGAGGGGAUCAGUGAGUUUGUUCUUGAGUUGUCGGGCAGAGUCUAUGUUUGUAAUUGAUCAGUGAUGAUCUUCCGAUUGGGUGAUUUCUUCUGGAGACAACCUUUUGAGAUCAGCUUCUUGCUGUGUUUGAGAUAUCGGUUGAAGUGGGAAGAGAAUUCCAACAGGUGUUGUAUUCUAUGAUCGGGAAUUGAGUGUUGUGGAUCAACAAGCGUAGCUGUGAAGUUUUGUUGUGUUGUGGUGUUCUUUAAUCCUUUCUUGGUUCCGGCAGCACACCAACCAGCAGCCUCCUAGUUCCAACAUCAACAAUAGCUGGGAUUGAGGUUGAGGCCGUCGGGAGAUAUUCCAGUCGCUAGCCCCAUUAUCGCGAGGAUU